UACGUAGGUGACAAGCGUUGUCCGGAUUUACUGGGCGUAAAGAGCGCGCAGGCGGUCGAUCAAGUCGAGUGUGAAAGCCCCCGGCUCAACUGGGGAGGGUCAUUCGAUACUGAUCGACUCGAAGGCAGGAGAGGGUAGUGGAAUUCCCGGUGUAGUGGUGAAAUUCGUAGAUAUUCGCAAGAACACCAGUGGCGAAGGCGGCUCACUGGCCCGAUACUGACGCUGAGGCACGAAAGCGUGGGGAGCAAACAGG
rnacentral:rRNA from 1 species